rnacentral:rRNA from 1 species
CCCUUAGAUGUCCUGGGCUGCACGCGUGCUACAAUGAAGCGUCCAACAAGAUGCGAAGCCGAAAGGCUCAGCGGAUCUUUGAAGUCGUUUCGUGACCGGGACAGUUGAUUGCAAUUAUUCGACUCGAACGAGGAAUUCCUUGUAAUCGCGAUUCAUCAUAUCGCGCUGAAUACGUCCCUGCCCUUUGUACACACCGCCCGUCGCUCCUACCGAUUGAGCGAUCCGGUGAAUUAUUUGGAGUGUCCACGCAAGCCAAUCCGUUUACGUGGGUGCGAAAUUUUGUAAACCUUAUCGCUUAGAGGAAGGAAAAGUCGUAACA